UGAGGAAUAUUGCGCAAUGGGCGAAAGCCUGACGCAGCGACGCCGCGUGGAGGAUGAAGGUUUUCGGAUUGUAAACUCCUGUUAAGUGGGAAGAAACGACAAAAUAUAAUACAUUUUGUAACUGACGGUACCAUUAAAGAAAGCACCGGCUAACUUCGUGCCAGCAGCCGCGGUAAUACGAGGGGUGCAAGCGUUAUUCGGAAUUAUUGGGCGUAAAGGGUGCGUAGGCGGCGUAUUAAGUCAACUGUUAAAACCUCCAGCCUAACUGGAGAUCAGCAGUAGAUACUGGUAUGCUAGAGGAUGGAAGAGAGAAGUGGAAUUCUUGGAGUAGCGGUGGAAUGCGUAGAUCUCAAGAGGAACACCAAUGGCGAAGGCAGCUUCUUGGUCCAUAUCUGACGCUGAUGCACGAAAGCGUGGGGAGCAAAACAGGAUUAGAUACCCUGGUAGUCCACGCCGUAAACGAUGAUCACUAGAUGUUAAUUCUGCUUGCAGAAUUAGUGUCGUAGCUAACGCGAUAAGUGAUCCGCCUGGGGGACUACGGUCGCAAGAUUAAAACUCAAA
rnacentral:rRNA from 1 species